CGUCGACCUGGUCGGCAUGAUCGACGGCGCUGUAAUCGUCGCCCUCGGCGCCGGACUCGGCCGGCUCGGGUCCGGCCUCGGCGGC
rnacentral:tRNA from 1 species